AGUGAACGCUGGCGGCAGGCCUAACACAUGCAAGUCGAACGAAGUCUUCGGACUUAGCGGCGCACGGGUGCGUAACGCGUGGGAAUCUGCCCUUGGGUACGGAAUAACUCAGAGAAAUUUGUGCUAAUACCGUAUAAUGUCUUCGGACCAAAGAUUUAUCGCCCAAGGAUGAGCCCGCGUAAGAUUAGCUAGUUGGUGGGGUAAAAGCCUACCAAGGCGACGAUCUUUAGCUGGUCUGAGAGGAUGAUCAGCCACACUGGGACUGAGACACGGCCCAGACUCCUACGGGAGGCAGCAGUGGGGAAUAUUGGACAAUGGGCGAAAGCCUGAUCCAGCAAUGCCGCGUGAGUGAUGAAGGCCUUAGGGUUGUAAAGCUCUUUUACCAGGGAUGAUAAUGACAGUACCUGGAGAAUAAGCUCCGGCUAACUCCGUGCCAGCAGCCGCAGUAAUAC
rnacentral:rRNA from 1 species